AGUUUAAAAUUAUUUAAUAUUUUUCUUUAUAAGGAAACAUAAAGCACCUUGUUGGAAAGAUAAUGUAUUCAUUUAACAGACCAAGACUUCCACCACAUGAAGGCCAUUUUCUUCUCCUGAUUUGAGUUCUGCCAUUCAGGUACACUGCACCUUUUUUACCCAAGUAAAAUGAAAUGGGUCAGUCGGACUUAAUCAACAUCUGAACAAAACAGCUAUCAACAAUACCAGUAAAACUAGUUUCCUGAAUAAAAUAUUUUUCUUGCUUUAAACCAAAAAGAUGAAAUAAUGCCAAUGACAGACAUGAAUGACUUGCUAUCAGUUGUUCUACUUAGCAAUUUAUGGGUUUCAAGUGUGAUUUUGUAAAAAAUUUGUUUUGUCUAAUAUUGAUAUUUGAUACCUACAGCAAGUAGUGUCCUGCCAAAACACGUGAAGAAGCAGAAUCAGCAUUUUCAGAGAUACCAAACAUUUUUGCACACAUUCAAAAAGCUACAGGAUCAAAUUAAUUCUAGCUUAUAGACUGAUAGCUAGAUCAGCCAGGGUCUCAUACAAAUGAGUCUGCAGCAGCCAGUGUUUUGGAGUUCUGCUCUGAAAUAUAACUUACCAUAGAUUCAUUUUGGAGCUGAAAUGAACUAAAACUGUAAUUAUACCAUUGGUUUAUUCCUGCAGAUCUCCUUGGGUCUGAUAAAAAAAUAUAAACUCGAGGUAUGUAUGUCCAGGAGAACUUAGUAUUCUAUUACAGUAUUUAAAAGUCUCUGUAUUAUACAUCACAUUUCUUCUUCUAUAAGAACUGUUUAAAACCAGUAAGAAUUCCAUAUUCUAGAACACAGACUCUGAAUAUAUUCAGACUGCUCAAAAAAAGAAGAUAAACAAAGGAGCUCAAACUCCCAACUCAAUGAAGUGUACUGCCUUACUGGUCAGCUCACUGUAGCUGUGUUUUGCACCACUCCAACCAGGUUUUUCCAUGGCAAAGCUUGAGCAGAAUUUGUACAUAGAUCCAAGAAUCCUUGUCAAAAAGGCAGUUGUGGACAAGGCCAUGAGGUUGAACUUUCUUUACGCUACACAGUCCCCCAGAAUUAUCUAACAUAACUUUACACAUUUAAACUCUGCAAUGCAACCACUACUCUCACUCAGCUUCAGAAUGGCCCUAUCCUUAUUUCAAACAAUUUUAGUGAAAAAGAAAACAGCCACAGAACACACAGGAUGAUAACUGUGUGCUAGGACACUGUGUAAGUGGAUGGACAGCAGCCUGGAGAAGGGCCAAGCAACACAGAAAGUGGAUGUGGCUGGUGUGUUCUCAGAAGGAUCUGCCAUAAACACUGUACACAUAAGCACACCCGUGCCAUGUGGCUUGGUGACUGGUAGCUGCCCCUGGCUGGCUGGUACUUUAUCAUCAGAUGUAGCACAAGCCUCCUGCUGCACACCACUGUGUGAAGUCCACUGAUCUCAGUGGAACUUGAUACAGAGUAAGGUGCUACACAGUGCAGAAGUGUUAGGACUUGACAAAAAAAAGGUUAGGGGCAAAAGCAUCUCAUUUUGCAACUCCCCCCUAAUGAUUUUUAAGCAUGUUAAGAGGAUGUUACCAGCACACACAGAUGCCUGAUGUUUGCUCCACAAGCUCCAAAAGUCCCUGUCCCUCAGAAAGCUGGCUGGUGGCACUGCAGACACAAUCCCCUUUCUCCUGGGAUCUCACAGCAGGACAGCAAGCCCCAGUGCAGGGAGAAUGCUGUAACAGGGGAACAAGGCUUCUGCCUCUCACCAUCGGGCUUGCUCUGAGCAGGAAAAUGUCCAAGAUGACUGGUUGUGCUGGGGCACAGGCUUUGGCCUCAAUUCACUUCUCAGUAAGAAGUAACUUUGUAUCUGACUAAAUUGCAUACUGGUACAACUGCUUGAAAUGAGAAACAUUUGUUUUUGCCUUACUUUUAGACCACUGAAUGAACAAUGGGUAAAUAACACUUGUUUGGCAUUACAAAGGUAAUAGCAAGCAUCUUCAGUUAUUUUUAAAAAAGCACAAUAUUUUCCAUGUCCUGAAGAAAUCUGUUACCUUUUAGUUUCUCCUGUGCCCUUUAAACAGCAAGA
rnacentral:lncRNA from 1 species